rnacentral:rRNA from 1 species
GACGAACGCUGGCGGCGUGCUUAACACAUGCAAGUCGAACGGAAAGGCCCUGCUUUUGUGGGGUGCUCGAGUGGCGAACGGGUGAGUAUCACGUGAGUAACCUGCCCUUGACUUUGGGAUAACUUCAGGAAACUGGGGUUAAUAUCGGACAGGAGCUCCUGCUGCAUGGUGGGGGUUGGAAAGUUUCGGCGGUUGGGGAUGGACUCGCGGCUUAUCAGCUUGUUGGUGGGGUAGUGGCUUACCAAGGCUUUGACGGGUAGCCGGACUGGGAGGGUGACCGGCCACAAUGGGACUGAGAAAGGGGCCAGACGGCAACGGGGGGCAGCAGUGGGAAAUAUUGCACAAUGGGCGGAAGCCGGAUGCAGCGACGCCGGGUGCGGGAUGACGGCCUUCGGGGUGUAAACCGCUUUCGCCUGUGACGAAGCGUAAGUGACGGUAAUGGGUAAAGAAGCACCGGCUAACUACGUG